rnacentral:pre_miRNA from 1 species
AUGGAAGAUUUGAUGACUUCAUCUUGCGUACUUUGAGGAUUUGGAAACUUCAGCUUGCAUACUUGGAGGAUUUAAAAACUUCGAUU